ensembl:lncRNA LINC00887 long intergenic non-protein coding RNA 887
GAAUGUGUUCCUUUAUUACUAGUUGUUGGAGGGUCCUUGUUGACAUCUUGCAGAGGUCUGGCUGUCACUUUUAAUCAGAAUGGCUAUUCCCCACUCCUGCUGAAGAGCUCCAGGCCUGGCGGGGGUGGGCUGGCGGGCUGUGGUGGUGGUAAGGGCUGUCCCCCAGCACACUGUUAGAACUUUACUUAUCCUCUUGCUUGAAGUGUGGGAGCUGGAGACCAUUCAGGAAGCUGUGGUUACAGUCCCAGACAGGGUCCCUAAAAGCAAGGAGCCAUUCCCAAUGCUUCCUCCUUAGGGAAGCCUUCCCUACUUUCUCUUCCCUCUUCUGGGCAGAGUUUGUACCUUCCUCCUUUUUGCUCUCUGUUUAUUUCUUUAAUUUAACACUUAACAACAUAAUACCAUCUUUAUUUGUUCCAUGUUUGUAUCUUCUACUGAAUGUGGCUUCAAGAACAGAAAGCACAGAACGUGGCACGUUGGAGGAAAUCAAAAGAAAUCUCGCCAUUGCCGGGAAUGGGUAAAUCACUCAGGCCGCGUGGGUCCUUGGCAGAUGGCAGAGGCGGCUUCCCAGUCCCCCACCUGGCACUAGAGGGACGGGGCGCGCACCCAACGGUGGCACGCAUCGCCGAAUUUUCCUGAAUGCCGCUGUGGCACAUUCCUGGCCUUUGCAGUUAUUAGGAAAUGAGAGGAUCUUUUUUCCUUCUACUCUCCCCUCCCCCUGCCUUCGUUUUUCUUCCAGGCAUGGAAUUAUCUACUUUAGCAGUUCAAAAGACAUUCCAUUCCCAUGACAAAGACAGAAAGGGGUGAUGUUGGCAUACUGUAGCCCUCUUUCUCAUAGGGAGACUUGAGCAAUAAAUCAUAAUGAAUGAGAAUUUAAAA